GGGGGUGGGCAGUGGCUCAGUGGCAGAACCUCUGCUUGGCAUGCAAAGGGUCCCAGGUUCAAUUCCCGGCAUCUCCA
rnacentral:tRNA from 1 species